CAGCCGCCGCGGGAAAACGGAGGGUGCAAGCGUUAAUCGGAAUUACUGGGCGUAAAGCGUGCGUAGGCGGUUCGUUAAGACAGAUGUGAAAUCCCCGGGCUUAACCUGGGAACUGCAUUUGUGACUGGCGAGCUAGAGUAUGGCAGAGGGGGGGUAGAAUUCCACGUGUAGCAGUGAAAUGCGUAGAGAUGUGGAGGAAUACCGAUGGCGAAGGCAGCCCCCUGGGCCAAUACUGACGCUCAUGCACGAAAGCGUGGGGAGCAAACAGGAUUAGAUACCCCGGUAGUCCCUGUCUCUUAUA
rnacentral:rRNA from 1 species